GACGAACGCUGGCGGCGUGCUUAACACAUGCAAGUCGAACGGAAAGGCCCCCACCUUGGUGGGGGUGCUCGAGUGGCGAACGGGUGAGUAACACGUGGGUGAUCUGCCCUGUACUUCGGGAUAAGCUUGGGAAACUGGGUCUAAUACCGGAUAGGACCAUGGUUUAGUGUCUCAUGGUGGAAAAAUUAUUGUUUUGGUGCAGGAUGAGCUCGCGGCCUAUCAGCUUGUUGGUGGGGUAAUGGCCUACCAAGGCGUCGACGGGUAGCCGGCCUGGGAGGGUGGACGGCCACAUUGGGACUGAGAUACGACCCAGCCUCCUACGGGAGGCAGCAGUGGGGAAUCUUACACAAUGGGCGCAAGCCUGAUGCAGCGACGCCGCGUGGGGGAUGACGGCCUUCGGGUUGUAAACUCCUUUCGUUAGGGACGAAGCCACACCUUUUUUGGGUGUGGUGACGGUACCUUUGUUAAGAAGCACCGGCUAACUACGUG
rnacentral:rRNA from 1 species